UAUAUUAUUUCUAGGGUUCGCAUAUUCUCCGCUAUGUUACAAAAUGUAAAAUAUCACGAGAUAUUGAAAAGGGCAGUGGAGCAGUAAAUACUCGUAGCCACCUGAAAAUCUCCCCGUCCACACUUUUUUUUUUAAUUAAAAAAACACUAUUUUUAUUUAUUUAUUUAUUUAUUUCUUCUCUCUCUCAUAUGAGAGCUUGAGCCUUGAGCCUUAAGCUUUAAGCUUCUUUCUUCGAAAACCAAAACCCAAAACCCUUGAAACAAAAUUUCAAACCCCAAAAAUCCCAAAUGGGUAAGUACAUUAGGAAGGCCAAAACGGCAGGGGAGGUUGCCGUAAUGGAGCUUUCCCAGGCUUCUCUCGGGGUUCGGACCAGGGCCAAAACCCUCGCCCUUCAACGCCUACAGAAAUCCUCCACUUCUUCUCCGCCUACGGUUGUUUCGGCUCCGGCUACAGGAGACGGCUCGUUUCUCCAGCUGCGGAGUCGACGGUUAGAGAAACCGCCGCUUGUGGUGCACCACCAUGUUUCGAAGAGGCACAAGCAGCAGCAACAGGGGAGUAAGAAGGAUAGCUGUGUGCAGAAUCCUAACCCUAAUUCGUAUUCUAGGGUUCGACCGUGUGGCGGUUCGAAUUCGGAAAAGAAAAAAGGUGAAGACAUUGUGCAAGAAGAUAAUGGAAAUGAUAAUAGUAUUAACUACGGCAAUCUUAACAAUAAUCAUAAUGAAAGCAAUGAUUUUGGUGGUGUUGAAGCUUCUUUUGGAGAAAAUAUUUUGGACAUGGAAGCUAGAGAGAGGGGCACUAGGGAAUCAACUCCUUGCAGCUUGAUAAGGGACUCGGAGAGUAUAAGAACCCCAGGUUCUGCUACUAGGCCUACCAACUCAGCAGAUACUAACCAGAGAGUACAGAAUUCAACGCAGCGACAUACACCAACAUCACAUGAAAUGGAUGAGUUCUUUUCUCUCACAGAAGAAGACCAGCAAAGACAAUUCAUUGAGAAGUACAACUUCGAUCCAGUGAAAGAUAAGCCACUUCCCGGGCGUUAUCAAUGGGAGAAAAUGGACCCCUAAACGACCAUUAACAUUCCAUCAGGACCCAUAUUUCCUGCUAGAAUCUCAGUUGAUCUUAAAAUUAGGUACUGGCCGGGAUAAGCUUUUCUUAUUGGUAAUGCAUUGGAAGGUUCUUGUAUUUCAUUAUCAUGUCCGUUCUGCACUUCUAAUUUUGUUUCUUGGGAGAAUAGUCAACUUAAACAGGCUAAAGAUGCUCAAAAAUAGAGGACAGAGAUUAUUACAUGAUACAAUGGGGUAUGUUUUAAUCUUUUUCUUAUUUGCUAUGCUCUAUUGUGAGCAUCAAUAUUUUCAGCUUUAUGGAUUGUUCAUACUCAAAACAGAAUGGACUUCAAUUAUUGUAUUUAAAAUCAGGGUUACAAAAAUGCAGGUCCUUAAAAUUAUACAACCAAACUUAGAUUAUUUGAGCCUUUUCAUAGAAGAUAAGCAUAAAUGAAACCCAAGUUUUUUCCGUCAUUGUAACACAAUCUCGACUCUUUUUAAGACGAUUUGGUGUA